rnacentral:rRNA from 1 species
GAUGAACGCUAGCGGCAGGCCUAAUACAUGCAAGUCGAACGGUGUAGCAAUACACAGUGGCGCACGGGUGCGUAACACGUAUGCAACCUACCUUACAUUGGGGGAUAGCCUUUCGAAAGGGAGAUUAAUACCGCAUAAGACAGUAACUGGGCAUCCAGUAGCUGUUAAAGAUUUAUCGAUGUAAGCUGGGCAUGCGUCCAAUUAGUUAGUUGGCGAGGUAAUGGCUCACCAAGACGAUGAUUGGUAGGGGAACUGAGAGGUCAAUCCCCCACACUGGCACUGAGAUACGGGCCAGACUCCUACGGGAGGCAGCGGUAGGGAAUAUUGGGCAAUGGGCGCAAGCCUGACCCAGCCAUGCCGCGUGCAGGAAGAAGGCGUUAUGCGUUGUAAACUGCUUUUAUACAGGAAGAAACGACCCUUGCGAGGGGCAUUGACGGUACUGUAUGAAUAAGCACCGGCUAACUCCGUGCCAGCAGCCGCCGUAAAAC